rnacentral:rRNA from 1 species
CAGCAGCCACGGUAAUACGGAGGAUCCGAGCGUUAUCCGGAUUUAUUGGGUUUAAAGGGUGCGUAGGUGGCCUGUUAAGUCAGGGGUGAAAGACGGUAGCUCAACUAUCGCAGUGCCCUUGAUACUGACGGGCUUGAAUGGACUAGAGGUAGGCGGAAUGUGACAAGUAGCGGUGAAAUGCAUAGAUAUGUCACAGAACACCAAUUGCGAAGGCAGCUUACUAUGGUUUGAUUGACACUGAGGCACGAAAGCGUGGGGAUCAAACAGGAUUAGAUACCCCAGUAGUCCCUGUCUCUUAUAC